CUGUUGAAUCGCUCCGGUUGGGCACUUGGACAUAGGCGCGUUUCGUUGGGGACGCGCCCCGACCUCACUUCACCA
rnacentral:sRNA from 1 species